UGGAGCAGCCGGGAGCCCCCCUGCUCCCACCCCCUCCAGCAGCCUGGGGGCUCCGAGGGACGUGAGUGCGGGUGGGGGCUGCAGCCUGGUGCCCCUGGGGCUGGGAAGGCCCCUCUCGUUCCCCACAGCAGCCAGACGGGCAGGAGCUGUGCAUCGAAAGGCCACUUGCCAUCCCAGCAACUUCCAGAUUGGCCUUGGUGGUGCCCCAGGGAAGGGCUGGGUGCUGCUCCCAGCUCCUGGUGCCAUGCAGGAACAGCUGACAUGGCCUCUCCUGGCUUGGCUCCUUCCUCCCAUUUCUCUCUGGUUUCUCUCCCUUCAGGCAGUCAGUUUUAUUCUCCUUGUUUGUCUUUCUUGCAGACUCUCCUCACCCCCAUCUUGAUUAUUCUGUUGGACAUUUAACUUCUCAUUCCCUCCCCCUGCUCCCACACCGCGAAGGCUGAGUUAAGAGCUGCGGGAGCAACGGAGAGAACCUCAGCAGGCAGGCUGCUGGCUGGGUUGGGGUUGGCAGCCACUCCAUGUGCGCUGUGGUUACAGCCUGCUGCAUUAGUGGCUGUACUCGGGGAAGCCAAAAGAAGCUGUGGUUUUCUUGACACUUGGACAUCCCUGCGCCCCCAGAACAUGGUGGAAGGCCUGAUGGGGAGGACAGGAGGAGAAGUGAGUCGUGUAACUCUGACAUGUCCAUGGGUGCUUUCCCUUGUUCCACACUCUUGCGAAAAGGGCCCUGCUGCUGGAGCAGCAUGUAAUGGCUCUGAGCCGUGGUGUCAGGAAGGAAAUUGCUCUAUGGAAACAAUGAAGAUGUCUCAGCAGGAGGCUGAGUGGGGUGGUCCAAGUACAACUGGAUCCCACCCAGGAAGAGCUUUGCUGGCUUGAGUUGAUAAGAACAUAAGAGCGGCCGUACUGGGUCAGACCAAAGGUCCAUCCAGCCCAGUAUCCUGUCUACCGACAGUGACCAAUGCCAGGUGCCCCAGAGGGAGUGAA